ACCAGACUCCUACGGGAGGCAGCAGUGGGGAAUAUUGCACAAUGGGGGAAACCCUGAUGCAGCGACGCCGCGUGAGCGAUGAAGUAUUUCGGUAUGUAAAGCUCUCUCAGCAGGGAAGAAAAUGACGGUACCUGACUAAGAAGCCCCGGCUAACUACGUGCCAGCAGCCGCGGUAAUACGUAGGGGGCAAGCGUUAUCCGGAUUUACUGGGUGUAAAGGGAGCGUAGACGGCUGUGCAAGCCAGAUGUGAAAGCCCGGGGCUCAACCCCGGGACUGCAUUUGGAACUGUGUGGCUGGAGUGUCGGAGAGGCAGGCGGAAUUCCUGGUGUAGCGGUGAAAUGCGUAGAUAUCAGGUGGAACACCGGUGGCGAAGGCGGCCUGCUGGACUGCAACUGACGUUGAGGCCCGAAAGCGUGGGGAGCAAACAGGAUUAGAUACCCGGGUAUA
rnacentral:rRNA from 1 species